AAUAUUAUUUUUUAAGGCCACUUCGUUAAAAUAGGUGUUUCCAGUACUUCCUCAUUUGGGUAUUUUACACAAAAUCUGGAAUUAUUUUUUAUGUACAUGUCAUUAUUAUCAUCUGUCCCGCGCAACCAAACCAUCCACUUUUCCCGGUCACCAAUGUUCUUAACAAGAUAUCAAGAGAGAGACGCUGGUCCAUUAUUUGCGUAGUCCAGCCAGCUUUUUUUUUUUUGACAACCUUUUUUCGUUCUCUCUCAUGAAGGAUAUGUUUUGAAAAUUAGUCUUACAAAAUACAAUUCCAAACCAACUCAUGCAGUUAUCGUCUUUUCACAGUAUUGAGGAGUCAUCAUUUUUGCUAGCCAGAGUGUUAAUUGGCAAAAGUGAAAAAAUCAUUUGUUUAAUUUUUUAAAGUAAAUAUUCAUAACUAUAUCUUUUAUAUAAUAAUAUAUUUUUAAAAUAAUAAUCUUUUAUAUAGACAUGUUUUAAUAGAUCUAAUAAAUGAUUAACUCGGACCUACCAAUAUGGGUAUAUAAAUACUUAAAUCUGGGUAUUUAAAAUUUCGAAUGCGAAUUUUUUAAAAACCGAACUUAUAUAUAGAUCUAGAUCUCUUGUAUAAUAGAUCUAUCUAGAAUAAUAUAGAUCUACAACACCUAGACUAAAGUUAAAGACUAAGGUCUAGAUUUAUUUAACGUUUUAAAAAAAAUCAAUAGAUCUAAUAUAGACAGUCAUGAGAUCCACUCUAUUUUAUCUACAAUCUAGAUCUAGACCAUACAUGAGAUCAAUGAUGAAUAUGAAUAUUUAUAGAUCUAGUCUAGACACCUAGAUCUAGAUCUAUCGAUCAUCUAGUCUGUCUAUAGUCUAUAGCUUUAGACUUAGUAUACACUUUUACAGUAUAUGAGUAUACUCAUACGAGUCAUACUGGCUAUACUAUAGUAUAGACUGACACUAUAGUUAGUAUAGUUAAUACUUUUUAAUAGUAGAUCUAUAAUCUAUCAAUUCUAUCUAAAUCUAGACUUCACUUUCACAUCACAUUCACACGAUUAUUGAUACAGACAAUGAAUGAAAAGAAUGCAGUGGUUAUACUUAUUAUACUUAUAGUGACGAUACUACUUAUAGAUCUACCAGUUGAUAAACAUCAUCAUCAUAGAUAAUAAUCUGCAUCUAUAAUCAUAGUGCCCUUUAUUUAGUCAAUAUAGUCAAGUCAAGAUAGUGGAACGUAAACUCGAAGGUUUAAUACAAUACGUUAUUAACAAGUAGGACGUAAUCAUCUUCUUUUUUGAAGUAACGUCUGUAUUAUAUAAGAUAAGAUAACCAUGGCAACCAGUUCUGAUGAUGUACCAGAAUGGCUCAAGGAUCAUACUUAUACUAUUUCUACUCUCUGGGCAGACAUUAAUAAUAUUGGGAUCCAUUCAAUAUUUAAUUUAUGUUUGGAAAUGCAAGAAAAAGGCAUGCAUUCCUGAAAAGUCACUGAUUGGUUGCACCUCUUAAAGAUAACUUUCUGUUAUGAGAAAAGAUGAGAUUCUUGGACUCCUGCAUAGCACCACCAGAAAGGAAAAUCCCAUCAUGUUGCAAAAUAAAAGUCUUGGACCAAUUUUAAUUUAAGAUAUAUAUAUAUUAUACUGUAAGCUGUAUACAUAUUUAUGUAUAUCCUGUCAUUCAGCCAACAGGUUUGGAUUUAGUAUUUCUUUAAAUCUGUUUGAUAUUGUACUUGAAAACUAUUAAUCUGAGCCCCAUUAAAACAAGAGGGAGUGCAGUGGAUGAGUGGUAAGGGAAAUUUUACUUUUUUAAAAUUAAAAAUAAGAAUCUAACAAAAGUAAACAUAUAAAAUAUGGUGCAUUCUCCUUAAAACUAAAACCUGGUGCAAAGGUUUAAAAUGUUGGCAAAAAAAAAAGCAACAUCAAUUAAAUAUUCUUAAUUCCCUUACUGAGAAGAACAUGCAUGUUGUUCCCUCAUAAGUUUCUUGACAGAGGAAAUCUUGUUUAUAUUAGAUUUGAAUUAAGCAAAUUAAGAAAAAAAUUAUAAUCAUUAUUUCAAAUGGUUGUAUCUAAACCUUAUGAAUUAUUUUUCAGUUAUAAGUAUAUUGAAAUGAAUGGAUAAUCAUGAAAUUGUUAAAUAAUUGCCAUUGACUAAAGAACCAUAAUUUUUUUUUUUAAUUAAUUUCAAAAUGAUUUUUUUCAAGCAGAGUUCACAUGGAUCUUGAGUGAAAUUUUUCUUUUUUUGACUAAUGCUUCAAUUUUAUUGUAUCAUUAGUUUUUUAUUUUUAUUACCCAGAAUAUUUAAAAAAUUAGUACACUAUUUUCAUGUAAUAAUGUAACUUGGUAUUCACACAUCAAAAUACACUAUAAUCUUUAGGCCAUAUAGAUUUGUAUAAAUAUAAAUUAACAUUCUUGGAUACAUUGUAAAUGUAUAUUGUUUGGAUAAGAAUAAAGUUUUUCUGUAGACAA